AAUAUUGGACAAUGGGCGAAAGCCUGAUCCAGCCAUGUCGCGUGUGUGAAGAAGGUCUUCGGAUUGUAAAGCACUUUAAGUUGGGAGGAAGAGUUGUAGGCUAAUACCUUGCAAUUGUGACGUUACCAAUAGAAUUAGCAUCGUCUAACUUCGUGCCAGCAGCCGCGGUAAUACGAAGGGUGCAAGCGUUAAUCGGAAUUACUUGGCGUAAAUCGCGCGUAGGUGGUUCGUUAAGUUGGAAGUGAAAGCCCCGGGCUUAACCUGGGAACUGCUUUCAAAACUGGCAAGCUAGAGUAUGGCAGAGGGUGGUGGAAUUUCCUGUGUAGCGGUGAAAUGCGUAGAUAUAGGAAGGAACACCAGUGGCGAAGGCGACCACCUGGGCUAAUACUGACACUGAGGUGCGAAAGCGUGGGGAGCAAACAGG
rnacentral:rRNA from 1 species